UAACUCACCAUCACCCUCACCCAAAAUCCCUAAUUUUAAUCUCCCAAAAUCCCAAACGUUCUAGUGUCGAUAGCCCAACACCCUCGCCAGUCACAACCGUCCGGUGUCCACUAGGUAAAUAGUGCAGUGUUCUGUUUUAUUUUUAUCUGGCAACGGGACAACUUUUUUUUACCAAUCCCUUUCUAUUUUGAAUUUUUUUGGUUAUAUUUCUGGUUGUAAAAUCUUUUUUGUUAUCAUUUUCGUCAAUGAAUUAAAAUUGGUUUUUGUCUUCAUUCUUUUUUUUUGGUGCGUUUAUCUGCAAAUGGAUAAAUAAAAUAGAGGAGUAUUGAGGAUUGCAUCUGGGUGAUAGAGCUUUUGUGGAAAAAGAAGGGACUCAUCUCUUUUAAAAGCUGGGCAUUGGGGAUAUCGAAUUGGGGUCUGGUUAGGCUUUAGGAUGUUUUUGUUCUGGGUUAGGAAGAGUAAUUUCUUCUAGUUUGAUUUAUUGAAUUCUGUUCUAAGUUGUUGUUUUCUUAAUAGCUUUGUACAUACAGUUGGUUGAUGCCCAAUUCUUAUAAAAAGCCCCAGAUUAUUCUUUCAAAAAAAAAAGAGUUAUAUUUAUUAGUUUUCUGACUUAUUUUCAUGUCAUUGUGGUUUGCUAGGGCUUUGUUGAUUCAGAUCUUAGAAUUUAUUUUUGGUCUUUUUCUUUUCCGUUUUGAUCAUGGAAAUGGUGUUGGCAAAUUUCGGUUAAAUGGUUAAUCGAUCGAAUUAACAAAAAUAUUUCUGUUUAGUUUUUUUUUUUGAAAAAAUUUCGGUUCGGUUAACAAUUAAGGGUCUAAAAAGUUCGGUUAAUUUGAUUCAUACUAGUUUGGUUCAAUUAACCGACUGAACACCCCUCCAUUGGAUGACAAAAGGAUUAAACCGUAAAAGUUGUUAUAAAGUUUAAUUAAAGUUUAGUCCCCUAAUUUUGUUAAUUGGAUAGUUAGUUAAGAUACAAUGAUUAAAUCGUAAAAGUUGUAAAAAUUUAAUCACUAAAAAUUGUUAAAUUGCUAAGGGACCAAUCUAGUAAUUGGACCUAUGUUUUUGGAUGAAUGGUGGAAUGCGAUGUAGGAAUCCACUAAGUUAUAUUAAUCAUGUUUAGUAUAGUUAAUUAAUGUUUAAUUAAAUUAAUUAGGAUUUAUUAAAGGUUAAACUUAGAAUAAAAGGUAAAAGAAAAGAAAUGAUGUUAAUAUCCGAGAUCUUUAUCAUCUUUUUUAUCACCUUAGCUGAAUCUUGAAGAGAAAAACAAGGGUUUGAGGUUUUAAACUUUAGCCCUUCAAUUGGUUAGCAAUGUCAAGUUUGUUUCUUGUAAUUUUUAUAUUUUUGAGAUACUGAGAGCUUGAUUUAACUGACCUAGGUACUAUUUUGCAAAACUGCUAAAGUUUUCAAAAGUUUUCAUUGUUGAAUACUUGAUGAAAUUGGUGCUAUCUUGUUAGAUUUUAAGCUUAGAUAUGAAAAAGACUAAUUUGUAAAGUGAAAAUUGUUAGUUUUGAACCUAGGGAUUAAAAUGUAAAUAAUUCUAAAUUUGUAUGAAAUUUUUGUAAUUAUGGACAGUAGAAGGUCUUGGAAGGAUGUAACUGAGAUCGAUUUCAAAAUCGAAGCUCAAAAUUGAAAGUUAUAACAAUUUUGGUUUUAGGGACUAAAUUGAAAAAAAUGUAAAAUUUUAGGUGAAUUCAUAAAACAAAAAUUGAAUUGAUAUAUACAUAAAAUAGGAUAAUAUAAAAUGUUUUGAAUUGAUAAAUUGAAUUGACUUGAAUUAUUAUAUAAAUAAGAAAUUGGACCAAAUCGAAAAUAAUCGGGGGAAAGAUAAAAUUAUUAAAUAGUCCUUGAAGUUCAACCUGUUUGUUGAUUUAACCAGGUAAGUUCAUAUGGUGUGUUUGUAUUUAAAUUUUUGUAUAUUUUAUUUAUGGAUUUGUGUAUGUUUAGUAGUAGUUUGAAAUGUUUACAAUUUGGUACAGAAGGUGAAAUAUGGACUAAAUUUUAAAGAACUGAUAAAUUGAAUGUGAUGAAUUGUAAUUUGAGAUAUUAGAUGAAUUGGUGGAUGAUUAUGAUUGAUUUAAUCAUAUUGGUAUGGAUUUGACUAGUUUUUUAGAUAGAGGAUUAAAUUGAAUAAAAUUGAAAAUAGUGUAACCUAGUGAAGUUGUGAAAUUGGUUUGAAAUUAAGAUGAUUCAUGUUAUUAUAUGAAUUAAAUGAGUAUUUGAUUAAUUAAUUGAAUAUGAUAAAUGGUGAUUUGACUAUAAUUGAAAUUUGAAUGGUUAUUAUCCUAUUAACUAUUCGGGCAGAGUCGAAUAUAACUGGCAUGUCAUAUGAUAGAUCAAGUACGGGUUACUUCGACCACGGGUCAGUGAGUGCGCGGCACAUUUGCACUUCAAUUAUAUCGAUGAGCACAAGGCGCAACUUAUUUACUUCGAAAUUGUUCGAUGAGGCACUGGGUGUCAAAUUGGUGUGUUGGUUGGAUAUUGAUGUGUUGGCUGGAUUUGCGUAUUCGUUUGAGUCUGAGUCAGGUUAAUAGGGGUAUAAAAUGUGAUAUUUGAUAAAUGAUAUAUAAAUUGGAUUAAUAAUGUGACUUGGUAAUACAAAACUGAUUUACUAUAUAUGAAUAUUGAUAGUAUGUGAAAGAUUAUGCGAAUAUAUAUACGAGCCCGAAUGGCCGAUAUGGAAAUGUGGCAAAUCUAUAAAUUCUAUUCAAAAUUCGAACAAUGAAUCGAAAUAAUGAUUGUCAUUAAAUUGAAAUUGGAUGUAUUGUUGAUAAAUAGAUGAAAUGGUAUGAAUUUGUUAUUAAAUUGAUUAAAUGUUGAUUGAUUAUGUGAAUG
rnacentral:lncRNA from 1 species